rnacentral:rRNA from 1 species
UACGUAGGGUGCGAGCGUUAAUCGGAAUUACUGGGCGUAAAGCGUGCGCAGGCGGUCUGUUAAGACAGAUGUGAAAUCCCCGGGCUUAACCUGGGAACUGUAUUUGUGACUGCAUCGCUGGAGUGCGGCAGAGGGGGAUGGAAUUCCGCGUGUAGCAGUGAAAUGCGUAGAUAUGCGGAGGAACACCGAUGGCGAAGGCAGGUCUCUGGGCUGAAACUGACGCUCAAGCACGAAAGCGUGGGGAGCAAACAGGG